AGAAGUAAAAGUCGUAACAAGGUUUCCGUAGGUGAACCUGCGGAAGGAUCAUUAUCGAAAUCGAACGUCCGGGAGGGGGCCCUCGACCCUUUCGGGCUUCAACCUUCUUUCACACCCGUGUGCACUCGCUGUAGGUCCUUCGGGAUCUACGUCUCCUUUUCGAACUCGCAUGUCUACAGAAUGCGUUCGUCGCGUCCCGACGUAAAACCGACGUUUACAACUUUCAGCAACGGAUCUCUUGGCUCUCGCAUCGAUGAAGAACGCAGCGAAUCGCGAUAAGUAAUGUGAAUUGCAGAUUUUCCGUGAAUCAUCGAAUCUUUGAACGCAUCUUGCGCUCCUUGGUAUUCCGAGGAGCAUGCCUGUUUGAGCGUCAUCGAAAAACUCGAAUCGAAGCUUCGACCUCGUCGAAGCCUUGCGGUUCGGAACUUGGGAGUCUGCGGGCGAGCCUCGCCUCGUCCGCUCUCCUCAAAAGCAUUAGCCGUGGGCGACGAGCCUCGCAUGGCACGGCCUCUUCGACGUCAUAAUGAUCGUCGUGGGGGCUGGAAGUGCACAGUGGCUCGACGUGAACCCCCCCAUGCUUCUCAACGCUUGCGAGCCCGUCCCGCAGGGGAACGGCCGCGCCCGACAUAUCGAUGCUUGACCUCAAAUCAGGA
rnacentral:rRNA from 1 species